GAUGAAGAACGCAGUGAAAUGCGAUAAGUAAUGUGAAUUGCAGAAUUCAGUGAAUCAUCGAAUCUUUGAACGCAUCUUGCGCUCCUUGGUAUUCCUUGGAGCAUGCCUGUUUGAGUAUCAUGAGCAAAUCUCAAAGUCAAUUCCUUUUGUUAAUUCAAUUUGGUUUUGCUUUGGACUUGGAGGUCUUGCAGAUUUCACAGUCUGCUCCUCUUAAAUGCAUUAGCUGGAUCUCAGUAAUUAUGCUUGGUUCCACUCGGCGUGAUAAGUAUCACUCGCUGAGGACACUGUUAAAAAGGUGGCCAGGAAAAUACUGAUUGAACCGCUUCUAACGGUCUAUUAAGUUAGACAAUUACCCUUAAGUUUGAUCUCAAAUCAGGUAGGACUACCCGCUGAACUUAAGCAUAUCAAUAAGCGGAGGA
rnacentral:misc_RNA from 1 species